CCCUUAGAUGUUCUGGGCCGCACGCGUGCUACACUGAGUAAAUCAAUGGGUAAGGGAACACGAAGUGCAACCUAAUCUUGAAAUUUGCUCGUGAUGGGGAUCGACGGUUGCAAUUUUCCGUCGUGAACGAGGAAUACCUUGUAGGCGCGUGUCAUCAUCACGCGCCGAAUACGUCCCUGCCCUUUGUACACACCGCCCGUCGCUCCUACCGAUUGAGUGAUCCGGUGAGGCUCUGGGACCUGGACGGAAAGAGCGUUUCGCUUGUUCUGUUUGGGAAACUUGGUCGAACCUUAUCAUUUAGAGGAAGGAGAAGUCGUAACA
rnacentral:rRNA from 1 species